rnacentral:rRNA from 1 species
UACGGAGGGAGCUAGCGUUGUCCGGAAUUAUUGGGCGUAAAGAGCUCGUAGGCGGUUUGUUGCGUCGGCUGUGAAAUCCCGAGGCUCAACCUCGGGUCUGCAGUCGAUACGAGCAAACUAGAGUGUUGCAGGGGAGACUGGAAUUCCUGGUGUGAGCGGUGAAAUGCGCAGAUAUCAGGAGGAACACCGGUGGCGAAGGCGGGUCUCUGGGCAACAACUGACGCUGGAGGAGCGAAAGCCGUGGGGAGCGAACAGGA